UGAAAAAGAAUACCCACAGACAAGGCAUGGGUGGUGGGUAACCAAAAGCUGACCUCACCCCAGCAGAGGACCUAGCCUUGGAACGAUAUAAAGGCAGGCCUGUUGGAGGGGAUCCCUGGGGGAAAAGAGACAAGCAUAGGUCCCUCCCAAGAUGCCACUCGCUUCAUACAAGUGUCUGACAGCACUGUGUUACUGUUAGAGCCACCAACACAAACACCAGACGAUGCUGAUCCAAUGAGUACUCCAUCAAAGGCAUACUGUAGGCCUGGCAUGUCUUGUCUACUAGCUUCAAUAUGAAUCUGAUUAAAUGUGAUAGGGUGAAGGCCCCAGUGCAGCAGCAACAGUACAUGAUGGAGACAAUGAUGAGGAUGAGACAGGAUUCUCUCAGGAUUCCAGAAGGCAUGAGGUAUCAUGUCAAGCCUGUGAAAGUAAUAUUCGAAAAAAAAAGGAAAAUCUUGCACUGGAAGCCGAAAUAAAAAAAAGGACAAUUAGGAAACUGGACCUUGAAAUAAAAAAACUUGAGCUGGAGGUGACUUAUGCCUUUAAUGUACACUGUACGCUAACUCUAACACAAAUGUAUUAAUCAUUAUUCUCCUUUCCUCCCCCAGCUCCAAGAAGAUGACACAUCUUAAGAUAAAAAAUAUAAGAAAUAUUCUUGUAAAAUCAAGUGAGCCAUGACCUUUGAGCUCCCAUUGUGAGCACACAGGACCAGCUGCAUUUUUAAUAGAUUGUUUUUUAUUUUCCCCAGCAAUCAGUACAAAAAAACCUCAUUAUAAGGCACCGCCCCCUUUUGCCCACCUCCCAGCGCCAGGUGUUGCCACUAGCCUAUAUAAAGGCCCAAAAUGGUGUGUUCCUUUCUGCUUUGACAAUGGCAUGCCCAUUUUUGCAAGAUGUGGUGGAUGAAGAAGUACUUGUGCUCAGGACAGCCUUCAGACGAGAAAGGGUCUUCAGGGACCGUUUGGAAGCACUGGCAUUUGGAUGCCAUCAGGUAUCUGUGCAGACUGCCGGGUCCCAGGAUUAAGCACCGCACACCAUAGAGCCAUGCACUGAGUGUGGAGCAAAUGAUUUGUGUGGCCUUGUGCUUUUUUGCAAGUGGAGCCUUCCUGUACUCAGUGGGGGAUGCAGUACAGCUGAACAAGGCCACAAUUUGCAGCACAAUAAGGAGUGUGUGUCUGGCUAUCAACGCAUUAGCAGAUGUCUUCAUCUCAUUCCCUGGUCACAGAAGACUCUGUGACAUCAAAGAGGAGUUCUAUAGGAUUGCAGAUGAUCUGCAAUGCUGACUGUGUGAUCAGCAUUGUUGUGGCAAAAUGGCCUGGCUCAGUCCAUGACUCCAGAAUCUUUCGGGCCUAUGAAAUCUAUUAGCGCCUAUCAUAAGGUGAAUUAUCUGGUGUUUUGCUGUGAGACAGAGGGUAUGGCUGCAAGCCUUUUCUACAGACACCUUUCACAGACCCCCAGGAAGCACAGCAGGCCUACUAUGCCCAUGCCAGGGCCAGAGUUGAAAUGACCUUUGGCUUCCUGAAGGCACACUUUCACUGCCUCCACAAAUUAAGGGUCAGCCCUGUGAGGGCAUGUGACAUUACUGUGGCUUGUGCUGUCCUCCACAAUGUGACAUGCCUGAGGAAGGAGAGGGCCCCCAGAGUGCCGCCAGCCAUGGACUCAUUGGCUGCUGAGGGACCAAUAUGGGUUGAAUUGUUAAUAUGUGUGCUUUCAAUUUAGGCAAAUAGCCAGAGUAAUUUUUUUUUUGGGGGGAGGGUUGAUUCUUUAUUGAUUUGGCCUCUUUUGAUGUUUGUGCUGUAUACUGUGUGUAUACUGUUUGUAAUACAAGCUUGCAGGGAGGCUACUGCAUCCAUUCAUUUGUCUGACCAGUCGAUCGCAAAGGCAAUCCCUGUAGAUCACACGCAAGUUAACUGUGUAUGCUGCAUCACCUCUACGAGCUUCAGAAAACAGAGCGGGAAAUUGGCAUUAUGAUCUGAGGGUAAUUGUGAAACACGCAAGUCUUUUUGAGUUGCUGUGCCUUUCUUCUGAAAUGUGUUUUUAUAAAUCUUAUGCCUGCCCGCUGCAGGUCAGUCAUCUUAUUCCGAAAAUUACCAGGAUGCGCUCUUGCAUUCAUGCAGGAGCUGAUCCAUGCGCACACUGUGUGCGAUCGAACAAGAGAAAGAGAGAGAGAGAGAUACGCUUCUGAUACUGUUGUCAUUAUCUAGUUUGUUUCACUAAACCGCAUCUCUGCUAUUUUAAGGAGUACUCGACAUGUACUCAAUGAUUUUUUUUAAACUCCUCAAAAAGAAUGGAGUAAUGGUGACAGCCCUAAAUUCAGUGUAGAGAUAUAUGCAGUAUAGUCCUAAUACGCAUUUAAAGGCAGAGUGCACAAUGUUUGAAAAACGCUUUGGAAAAGGGAGUCGGGCCGACUACCAAAACACACUUGUAGUCAAUCAGCAUUAAGGGGCAUGUCUACUAACCAACAUCCUUGCCGGGGUUGCGUAUGUGUGGGGCAGGUCUAUCAAAAGAAGGUCCAGAUUCUAUUGGGGUAGGGGCGUGUAUGUUUAGGUGAUUUCAAAUAUCAACAUUGGCAUUCAAAUAUUGUGCACUCCGCCUUUAAAGUGUUUUUAGAUUAAACUGUGUUCUUUAUCAGGUAGAUCUUGUCGGCUUUAUCAUUUUAAUAGUAGAUCGCCACACAAAAAAGUCUGGACACCCCUGUUGUAGAGUCACUGGUGACUUCAGUUUCGAAAGGAGCUGAUAGUU